rnacentral:rRNA from 1 species
UCCAGACUCCUACGGGAGGCAGCAGUGGGGAAUAUUGGGCAAUGGGCGCAAGCCUGACCCAGCAACGCCGCGUGAAGGAAGAAGGCUUUCGGGUUGUAAACUUCUUUUGUCAGGGACGAAGCAAGUGACGGUACCUGACGAAUAAGCCACAGCUAACUACGUGCCAGCAGCCGCGGUAAUACGUAGGUGGCAAGCGUUAUCCGGAUUUACUGGGUGUAAAGGGCGUGUAGGCGGGGAAGCAAGUCAGAUGUGAAAACCACGGGCUCAACCUGUGGCCUGCAUUUGAAACUGUUUUUCUUGAGUGCUGGAGAGGCAAUCGGAAUUCCGUGUGUAGCGGUGAAAUGCGUAGAUAUUAGGAGGAACACCAGUGGCGAAGGCGGUCUGCUGGACAGCAACUGACGCUGAGGCGCGAAAGCGUGGGGAGCAAACAGGAUUAGAUACCCUCGUA